GAUAAAAAUAUCUAAUUGAAAAAUUGAAGGCAAAAAAAAAGUCAAACAAUUAACUGGACCAUCAAUUAAUGACCAUAACGUUUCCUGACUAAUUGUUUAAGUGUUGCUAAAUUGAUUGGGUGAACAAUUAAAGUCUCAAUGUUUAAAUAUAAACAACGUUUAAUUUGAAUAGUCAGUUGACUUUUUUUGUUCACCUUAUUACUUAAUCCAUAUUAAGCUAAUCACCUUUGUUAACAUAACCUCUUAUUAGAUUACCAGUUUAUUUAUUUUUAAUUGUCCUAACAAUUAGUCACCCCCAGGGUAAAUCAUCACGUUAAUCAACCCUUUUAAUCAUUGGUUUAAUAAGCCAAAAAAAAGUAUCUUUGAUCGUUUGUCCAAAGGUGUUGGUCAUUUUUACAUAAUAAUUGGAACAUAAUUUAUUAAUUGUGACUGUAAUUUCUCUGUGUGUGGGUGAAUAAUUAAUAACUAACAAUUAACGUUGUCUUCUUUUCACUCUCUCUCAAUAAUCUUUCAAUUAGUAAUCCGUUUGUUGCCAUUUUCUUCAAUUGGAAAUUUAAUUCUCUUCUAUUCUCUUUGUGCGUCCAUCUUGGAUUUCUGGAAAUUUCUAUAAACAAAAAAGAGACACCAAAGGGUUUGGAUUUUUUUCUGUUUUCCAAGGGUCCCAAAAGUCGUUCAAAAGCUCCAACAUCAAGAACUUGUUUGUGAUAUUUUUGUUAAUGAUUCCAACGGAAGGCGGAGGAAGAUGGAUCGUGUUACAUGGUGGUGAUGAUAAUUGUAUCAAAGGAAAUGGUUAUUGAGUGUGGAUGGAACAAAAUAAAAUCAAGAAUUAGUUUAUUACCAACAACAGCGAAUUAAGGCAAACCUGAAGCUCGCCCACGAGAGAAUUAAAUCAUUUUUUGACUCUCUUAAUUCUAUUUCUAAUUAGAAAUCAGAAUGAUAUUUAUAAAUGAAUUAAUGAAAGAGAGAUUCAAGAUUAUCAAGUUCUAUUACGUGUUUUCGUCAAUCAUGUUGUGGAAAAAGGAAGAAAAAAAGUCAAACCUGGAUCACGAUUAAAUCUUUAAUGGAUAUUCAAUCUUAUUUACUCUUCUAAAUCUAACAAAUCAAAGCCAUAUGUUCAAUUUUCAUUCUUAUGGAUUAACUUAUAUUUAUCUCAACUUUUGGAUUAUAUUCGAAUGAUUCAACAAAGAAUCAAUUUAACAAUAGGUUUUCUCCGGACUAGCUGUUUAUCUCGUCUUUGAUUUGUAUACAUCUACGAUCCUGAUCAUAUUCACCUCACCUGAAUCUAAUUACACAAGAUGAAGGAAAUUCUAGAAACUCAUUAAUUGACAAGAGAAAUCAAAUGUAAUGGUUUUUCUUAUAGUCAAAUGAUUAUCGUAACCAGUUGAAUUAUGGAGUUUUUAUUUCUAAUUAUGACAAUCAAUUGAUUUUGCCUUUUGGUGGUGGUGAUUGAUUGGUUAUAAGAUACUUACAUGCAGUCUUGACACCAUCAACAGCUUUAACUGACGCUGCUCGAGGUAACCAAAAUUGAAAAGAAGGAAAAAACAAAAGCAAAGAGAACCGUUAAUAGGAUUGACAACGAGUUAAUAAGCCUGACAAAGUCCAUUGAGAUGGUUGGAUGAAUAGCUUAUUUCCAAUAAUUACCUCAUCAAUUUUUGUGAUUACCACAGUUCCCUCUUCAACAAAAUACAUUCCAUCAGCCUGAUCACCCUGUGCAUGGAGAAAAAUGUAACAGCAAAAAAUCAAAUUCAAAGGAAUUAAUUCAAUGGUUCAAUUGGUUAUUUGAUUAUGAUGAUUGGAGUUUACUUUAGAUUUACCUCUUUAAUGAUGACUUCUCCACUUCGAAAUGAUUUUGGUGUCAAAGCAUCACAAAGAUUCAUCCUUUCGUAUGCCUAUGAAAUAGGUAGAAAAAGACAAAUAUUGUUACAAACUAAAUUCUAAAAGUGGAGGAAGAUUGCCAAGAGAGAGAGAGAGGGAAGAAAAAAGUUACAAAAUAACAAGAAAGAUUGACAAUUUAUUUUACCAUAAAUUGUCGUGUUUCGUAUUGUUUAUAAAUUGGUAACAUAAAUUGUUCACUCACCUCAAGAGACUUCAACAUUUCAACUCUUUCCAACAGAGCUUCAUAUGUUUUCCUUUUCUUGAAAGCUCUUGAUAAAACUAUCUUUCGAAAUGUUUGACGACUCUGGAGAAAAUAGAGGAAAGAAAAAGUCAAAGAUAAAGAUUUAGAAUUACUCUUCUUCAUGGAAUGAUUCUGGUUUCAUCGAUCCAUUGACUGAACUUUACUUGUCCAAUUGAACUUAUGUCUUAUUCUCAUACUCAUACAAUAAGAUAUACACGGUGAUCAAAUAAGCUUAAAUUAAGAUGAAACUUAUUUAUAUUUGAUUUGAUUGGAUAAUUAACUGACCAUCGCCCAAAGGGAUCCUUCAGAUUUGGCUUCAACUGAUGCUGAUCUUGGCAUGUUAUACAUAAGAGCAAGUUCACCAAAGCUUCCGGAAUCAGUGUACUCUCCAAGUUCAAUAUGUUUACCGUCAUUUGUACAGUAGAAUCUGAAAGUUCCCCUGUUAUAGAAAUGGAAGAAAAAUUUUGUUUUAGUUCGAGAAAAAAGACAAAGACAGAGGGUGAAGAGCAGAGGAAAAUUCAUAAUUUGACAUCCAAGUGAAUUAUUAACAUCAUGGAGGAAGCAAGUGCACAAAAAAACAUCAUCAUCUUAUAAUUUGAAACCUAAAUUUUUCUUUCCUUAGUAAAUUGGUAAAAAAUUUCAUGGGUUAAUACAACACCAUGAAAGGAGCAACAGAAUUGAAUCACUUCUCCCACUCAUCAUCUCUAGCAUAUUAAACAGAUUUGCGUGAUAAUGGAAUUUCUCAAAGAAAAUACCAUUAAAGGAAUCAAAUACAUUUAUGAUGCAAGACAACAUAUUAACUUUCACGUUAUGUGAUGAUGGUAGUGAUGAUAAUUCAUGAUGAAAACAGUGAGCAUAUUGAACCAAUGGAUGGAGUCACAACAAUGAUUAAAUCAAAAAAAAAGGAAAAAGCUAAGAAGAAAAGAGGAAGAAGGAUGAAGAUGAUGGAAAAAAUGAAUGAUAAUAGGGAGUGAAUUUGCUUUUCUCCAAGGUAAAUGCUGUUUGAUUAUCAUGGAAUCACUUUCUCUCUCUUUCUCUCUCCUCCUUUUCCUCUUCCUGAUUCAUGCAAAAACAGUUACAAUGAUUAUCAUUGUGUUUACAUUGCAAUAAAUCAAAAUGGCAACAACUAAUAUCACCUGUCAAAGUUUGACUGGUAAGCUGAUUACAUUGAUUCUCAAUGAGCAGAUAAGUGUAAUAAAAGCAAGAGGAUAAGGAUAAGAAGGCGGAGUAGGAAAAAAAACUAUCAAGAAAAAAAAAGGUUUCAAGUUAAGAUGAUUCUUGUUGUAUUGGAAAUAGUUCUGGGAAUGAUGAACCACUCAUUGGGAAUAAUAUAACUGUUCAUUUUAUGUGCAAUGGUUUAUUUAAGAAUCAUUCUCAUGGAUAAUAAUAGGUAUUAUAUUGGAUCAACGAGCUGUUUGAUUUAAACUAACGACAACAAUUAAUUCAUCGCUAAAUUUAUUGGUUCAUAUUUUUUUUCUACUUGAUUGAUUCAAUUGACUUUCUAUUGAAUCAUUUGAUUGAAAAUCAUCAUUUCAAUCUCAUAAUUGAUUCCUUAAUUGUAUCGUUAAUCUGAUGGUCUUUUAUCAAUGGUUAAUCCGAUGACCAGUAAUCGAGAUGAUGGAGACAAAAGAUAAAAGAUAAAAGCUUAUCAAAGUAAAAGGAAAAGGAAAAAUUGCUCAGGGAGUUAUCCUUGGUUUCUCUUUCAUCAUGGAAAAUUAUUCUGGUUUCACUUAAGAGAAUCUUUUUAUUUUCGACCCUAAGAAAAGAGGACAAUGGUCAUUACCAUCACAGCUUUGGUCAGACUUGUACUCCUAAUGAUACUAAGUAGUGGUCAAGAUUUGACUUUCAUUAGCUGGACAAACGAGAACUUAUGAGUUUGACCUUUAAUUUAGAUGUGAGGUUAAAAAGAUUUUGUUCCCUUUCUCUCUGAGCUUUAUUAUCAUUGGAAAUUGACAAUAUCUCGAUUUACAUGGGAUUCGAUUGAUAUUACAUGUAUCUAGAGUGAAAAUGUUAUUGGAGAUAAAAAGGAAAACCACAUCAGUCGAUAAUCACCAGAAAAGUUCACCUAAUUUGAUAACAAGAUGAGUUUACAAUUUAUCUUCUCAGAAGUUUCUUUUUAGAUGAGAUGAUGAAGAUAAUGAAUCAAUUCUAAUCCAUGAAAUGUUACCUUAAUCAGAAACUUUCUUCAUCUAAUUAACUGUCACCUUAACAUUUAUCACUCUCACAAGACUAACCAAAUAUUUACCUCGCAUCAAUGUUAAGCUAUAAUUAAUAAUAACAAUUAAAUGAGCGUUCAAAUUCAAUUAGUUGUUAUCAUAUUAAUGAUUAGCUGAAAAACUCUAGAAAAUCAUAGAUAAAACUUGAUUAACGAAAAAGAGAGGAAAAAACUAAUCAAUAAUCAGUAUUAACAAUUAACAUGUUUCAUCAACUAAUUGAUUUAUUAGAAAAAAAUAAAUGAACUAAAUUUCAUGACUAAUUAAUUGUUAAUCAAUCUAAUUAACAUCUACUUAUUUUUACCUUCUUACUUAUAGAUUACAAUGUUUAUCUAGUUUGUAAUCACAAAAUUAACCAACAAUUUAUUUCAUCUGAUGAUUUAUGAAAACCCCACCGGGGAGUUUUUCAUGAAAGACCCAAAAAGAUAAUCUCAUGAUAAAUUCAUAUUAACAUUAAUCAGAAUGAUUUAUAUUAUUUGAGAAUUGAAAUUUGAAUCCAUGGUGAAAAUAUGAAUUUCAUUUGAAUAGUAACUGAUUUGUUGAAUUGGUUCAUCUUAUCAACCAGAUUAAUGAUAUAUUUCAAUUAAUUAUAUUACAAAAAUGGUUGCAUGUUGCUUUGAGCUUGUUUCAAAUUCAUUGGUGACUUGAACUUUUAUACCUUUGGUGUAUUACGAGUACACCAUGAAUAACACCACCAUCACCAGAUUAUACAUUUUGAUAGUGAAAACUAUGUUACCUUGAUUAUAUUGCCUUAAGGGUUUUAACCCAAAUCCUUUGUGAAUAAUCAUGCUGUAUUUAUGAUGUUAAUAGUUACAUAUUUCAAAUAUCCGAUUUAUCCCUUUGAAUUUAUCAUGAUGAAUUUUAAUAGGAAAACAAAAUAGUCUUUUCCACCCAAUGAACUUUUCACUCUUUCCAUACCUCUCCCACCCAUCUAUUCAUAUUAGUAUCAUGAUUUCUUUCAGUAUGUGUCCCAAUUACCCUGACAAUUUUGUCUUGGAGGCUUUUGUAGUUAUAUUUAAGGGGAAAAAGUUCUGAUUCUCACCAUGAUUAGCAUUCACUUUAUCAUCUGAUUUGUCAACAUUUUGAAUUCAUUGUUUUCUCUCAUAAAUUGAUCUGAAUCUUUUUCUAGUUUUUUUUUAUUGUUCAUGUCAAUUAGUGAAAUAAGUGUGAAAAAAGUUCUACAGGCAAUUAACAAGUUUACAAACUUGAUUUUCACCCAGAAUUUAAUGAGUCUUUCAUGGUGAUGAGAAAUAGUCAUGUUUUCAUCUCUCUGUUUAAUCAUGAAUACUCACACUGAUUGUGAAACUAAAAUGAACUACAAUCAAGCUGAUUACUAUAAGAUUAUCGAUAUUAAUCAACGAUUGAUUAGUAAAUCAUGUAACCAUGACGAUUAUUAAUUUGGUAUCUUUAAUCAUCUUUAUACAAAACUGAUAAUCUCAAUUGCUGGAAUAAUUUAUAUUCAUAUUAAUUAUUAAAUCUCCUUUUAUACUAAUCAGAUUACAACAAUCAAUUUUGAUUAAUAUCGUUGUUUUAUCAUUGGUCACUAAUUAUACGUAAUUUUGAUCAUUUUCAUAAUGAUUAUCAUUGAUUUUUAGUUUAUUAUCAAAUUGAUUUGAUUGUUAAUCAGUUUUGCUAAUCAGUUGCUAAUCAAGGUUUGAACUUAAUGAUUCCCUUGACACAAUUUAAUUGAUUCUGAUUAUCAUUCCUAAUGGUUGACCUGUUUCAAUAUAAACAUUUCGCUUGGAUAAUCAAGUAUCAGAAAUGAAAUUAAAUUAGAUGACCACUUGAAAA